rnacentral:rRNA from 1 species
UCGGGAAUUUUGGGCAAUGGGCGAAAGCCUGACCCAGCAACGCCGCGUGAAGGAUGAAGUAUUUCGGUAUGUAAACUUCGAAAGAAUAGGAAGAAUAAAUGACGGUACUAUUUAUAAGGUCCGGCUAACUACGUGCCAGCAGCCGCGGUAAUACGUAGGGACCAAGCGUUGUUCGGAUUUACUGGGCGUAAAGGGCGCGUAGGCGGCAAUUCAAGUCAUCUGUGAAAUCUCCGGGCUUAACUCGGAACGGUCAGAUGAUACUGCUUUGCUAGAGUGCAGAAGGGGCAAUCGGAAUUCUUGGUGUAGCGGUGAAAUGCGUAGAUAUCGGGAGGAACACCUGUGGCGAAGGCGGCCACCUGGUUGGAUACUGACGCUGAGACGCGAAAGCGUGGGGAGCAAACAGGAUUAGAUACCCACGUAGUCCCUGAGCGGGCUGGCAAGGCGCAU